rnacentral:tRNA from 1 species
GGGCUCGAGCCGUUGGGCCAGUGCGGGGUCGAUUGCGGCGACCUCUGCGGCGAAGCACUGCAGCAGGGCCGUGUUCGAGCGUGUGAGCUCC